GAGUAUUUGAAUUUGAACCUACCUGUGUGUGGGUUCAAACAAAUCUGACUUUGUGGUAACAAUGAAAAAAAAAUAGGAUUGGGUUUAAAGAUGAUGCUUUUAAAGAAAUUUAGAGGUAUCGACCCAAGCUGCUUUUAUUCAACUCUCUUAUUAUUUGACUGAAUUUUAUCAAGUAAUCCAAUUUUUUUGGAUUAAAAAAAGUUUUAAAA
rnacentral:misc_RNA from 1 species